AGGACGAACGCUGGCGGCGUGCUUAACACAUGCAAGUCGAGCGGAAAGGCCCUUCGGGGUACUCGAGCGGCGAACGGGUGAGUAACACGUGGGUAACCUGCCCUUCACUCUGGGACAACUCCGGGAAACCGGGGCUAAUACCGGAUACGACUCUUUGAGGCAUCUCUUGGGGUGGAAAGUUUUUCGGUGAGGGAUGGACCCGCGGCCUAUCAGCUUGUUGGUGGGGUAAUGGCCUACCAAGGCGAUGACGGGUAGCCGGCCUGAGAGGGCGACCGGCCACACUGGGACUGAGACACGGCCCAGACUCCUACGGGAGGCAGCAGUGGGGAAUAUUGCGCAAUGGGCGGAAGCCUGACGCAGCGACGCCGCGUGAGGGAUGACGGUCUUCGGAUUGUAAACCUCUUUCAGCAGGGACGAAGCGCAAGUGACGGUACCUGCAGAAGAAGCACCGGCCAACUACGUGCCAGCAGCCGC
rnacentral:rRNA from 1 species